CCCGCUCCCCUCCUGUGCUUCCAUUUUAAAAUCUUCCCCAAUUUGGACCUAUGUUACCAGGAGAAAAAAAAAAUGGCGUCCGGUAUAGGAAUGAUGGAUUCUGCAUGUUCUGUGAGUAGACCAUUCUUUCAGGGAUCAACUCGACUCUCAAGCUCAAAUCUUUCCAAAAUUGAAGAGAUGGCUGAUGGUGCGAUUCCAUGUCAACUGAUAGAUCGAUGCUGUCCAUCUAGAUGUGCUGCCCAUGAGUAAGGUUAAUUUUGAGGCCAAGAAUAUAUAUAAACGAGACGAUCCAGAAUCAUAAGGUCGUUGGAGAUGUUUCAGAUCACCAGAGGCUCGUUUCUCUUCUUUAUCCACGCAAUUGGGAUGGAAGGGAAACAGCUUGCGAAAGGAAGGCUUCUCCUCAAUUUGGAGUUCAUGCAGUGGAUGAAAAGUAUAUGUUAACAAGUAAUCCUUACCUCAUUGCUUUCUAAAUUUUCAGUUCAGUGGAAUUUUUUUAAUUUUCUCGUGUAGGAAGUGAGUGGUAUAUUUGUAAUUUGCUUCGUAGUUCUGAGCAUCAAUCCCGCACAUUUAUUACUUCAAAGGACCCAAUGAGGAAAGGCCAGGUUUUCUUUGUAUGAAAGCUAGCUAGCUCCUAGCUCCUAAGCAAAGAAUAAAAGAAUUUAGGCAUGGACAGAAAAGACACUGAAAGGUCAGAAUGCUAUAUUGUUGAAAAUUUGAUAAAUCCAGCUGAUUGGCAUAGUUAUUUUUACUA